CCUGCAUACACUGGACGAGAAACAGUAUAUUCCAAUGCAUCCCUGCUGAUCCAGAAUGUCACCCGGGAGGAUGCAGGAUCCUACACCUUACACAUCAUAAAGCGAGGUGAUAGGACUAGAGGAGUAACUGGAUAUUUCACCUUCAACUUAUACCAGUCAGAACAUAACAUGAGGUCUAAACUCCUGACAACUUUUUAUGGGAAAAUUACAGCAUUCCAAAUUGAGCAUCGGAAAUCCAGAAAUCCACAAUCUGAAAUGCUCAAAACUCAACCCUUCUGACCACUGAUGUGAUGCUAAAAAGAAGUGCUCACUGGCGCAUUUUGGAUUUAAAAUUUUUCAGAUUUGGGAUGCUAAACCAGUACAUAUACGGCAAAUAUUCCAAAACAAAACAAAACAAAAUUAGAAAUCC
rnacentral:sRNA from 1 species